rnacentral:lncRNA from 1 species
ACCAAGCAGCUGCGGCUGGCCGAGGCCUUGCUGUCGUCGAGAAAUUUGCAGAGCUAGAGCCAAAGCCAGAACCCAAACCAGAGCCAAUGCCCAAACCUAUGCCACACACAGAGCCAGAGCCAUGCAAACCUGAACCGACGCCCAAACCCAAACAAAAGCCCGGACAGAAGCCUGAACCAAAACCCAAGCCCAAACCGAUGCCAAAACCGAAGCCCGAGCCGUGCUCCAAACCAAAGCCGGGGCCUAAGCCUGAGCCGAUGCCAAAACCCGAACCAAAGCCAGAGCCCAAGCCUGAACCUGAACCGAAACCGAAGCCGCCUUCAAAGUGCAAACCACCGACAACUCACAAUUGAUGGGAUACUUAUAUAUGAGAGUAGUUGGAGGAGACCCCGCACGGAGCCACAAUGUGCUAUUUCUAGAAUAAGUGGUGUAGUAUUCCCUGUAUUCCAUUUCUUUUUAUUUUUCCAUGCGCGCGUGAUGAGUACUAGUACUCUGUAAUUACUAUUUGGUUGUUGGUAUAUGUUCAUCUACUUUGUAUAUGACUCGACUCAUUGUUCUUUUGAGUAUCUACGCAUGAUUGUAUUCAUUCACAUGAAUUAGCUAUUUUGUUAGAGGACUGCAGUCUAUGUUUUUUUUGUAUGGGUUGCAAUCUCGGUUAUUUUCUCUAUGGGAUUGUUUCAUAUUAUGUGGUCUUUUUNNNNNNNNNNNNNNNNNNNNNNNNNNNNNNNNNNNNNNNNNNNNNNNNNNNNNNNNNNNNNNNNNNNNNNNNNNNNNNNNNNNNNNNNNNNNNNNNNNNNNNNNNNNNNNNNNNNNNNNNNNNNNNNNNNNNNNNNNNNNNNNNNNNNNNNNNNNNNNNNNNNNNNNNNNNNNNNNNNNNNNNNNNNNNNNNNNNNNNNNNNNNNNNNNNNNNNNNNNNNNNNNNNNNNNNNNNNNNNNNNNNNNNNNNNNNNNNNNNNNNNNNNNNNNNNNNNNNNNNNNNNNNNNNNNNNNNNNNNNNNNNNNNNNNNNNNNNNNNNNNNNNNNNNNNNNNNNNNNNNNNNNNNNNNNNNNNNNNNNNNNNNNNNNNNNNNNNNGAAGAGAAGGCCUCCCUAAAUUGCAGCACACAUAUGAAAUGUAUAUAGUAUGCGCGUAUGUGUCUGGUGUUCUAGAUGUAUAAAGUGUACUCACACGCCACACAGCGGUUUUGUUCUCUACCCUUCGCCUAUGAACUAAGUCCCGACCAGGUGCGUUAGUAUUUAUACCCAGGCUCUAUGAGUGAGCUGGCUCCAUUGCUAGUUAUACUAGGUAAACGUCACAUACAUUGCUACGGAAAUUUAUAGCAAUGAAAUUUAAAAAAAUACCAUAUAUGUGAAUAAUACUACACAACAUUCUCAACAUAUGACAAUAGAAAACCUAGAUGUAACUGGAGGGUGGAUGCAUGUUAUAUUGUCUUGCAACCUUCAAGUUUAAUUAUUUGUUGUUGAAAGAUAAUAAAUAGUAAAAAAAUAAUAAGGUUAACAGCUUGCGUGUGUUUGAUUAUGUAGAGGGCUUGCAUAUGAUGGAAAGUGAAAAGUCUAAUGAUUACAUGCACCCUUGAUGAUGUAGAGGACUUGCAUGUGAUGAAAAAUGGUAAGUGAAAGUUGAUUGGUUGCAUGUCCUUCAUGAUGUGAUUAAUUUGCAUGUGCAUUUAGACUUACUUAGAUAUAUAGGAUAUGUGUGUGAAAGGUAACUGCACCCCCUGGUCAAGAUUAGUGGCGGAGCUACCCAAAAAUUGUUGGGCAGGUCAAGGUGGCCCAUCCUAAAGGAAACACGUUUUUCUCUCUCAAAAGGCCCAAGUUUACCUAUACUUGGCUAUGGGCUGGGCCGGCUAUGGCCCAUCUGGCCUUGUUGUAGCUCCAACAGUGGUCAAGACUAUCAAGAAAAGGCACCAUGAAAAUUAUAAUAACAGAUUUUCUCUUACUCAAUUCGCAACAAGAAAAAUCUCCCAGUGAUAGUGCUACGCAACAUUCGAGAGACCAUAAUAAUCUCUCACCCAUCCCAUGGUGCUGGCAGGGUCAACUCUAUAAUUUUGAGAGCGCUUGUGUGAAAUUGGCAAAUUGAUAGUCUUUUUCUUUUCUUUAUUGCGCAUGAAAACUCCUUUUAAGCAACAUUAUAGUAACCCUAAAACUGACAAGGAAAGUAAAUAAAGUACAUAAGUAGAAUUUUAGAAAUCAGAGCACUAACAUUUAACAUGCUUCGACGAAUGGGUGGCUCUGGUAAUAUGGCUAUGGGUACGAGGAAUGAGAGGCCUAGAGUGACAAGCUCAUGCUUCGCUGUCACAGAUGUCUGAGGAGGAGGCGAGACGCUCACGUCACCAAGCUACGAGACAAACCUGUGAAGAUGAAAAUCACGAAUUACAAUUAGGAGAACUGGUGACGCCAUGUGUCCGUGUCGCACGCCGAUUAUGAUUCUUUUCCUUUUUAUGGACCAGUUCAACCAACGGCUAAAGGCCUAAAGCUUGCUUCUUGGAGAGCGUGUAUACCUCAAUUUUAGGAAAGCUCCUUCUCAGUGCUUAUAGUGCUCAUUAGUGCCGCAGCGCACAAGAGCUCGCGCGCAUGGGUCAUCGCAUUAAAAGGCAAAGCGGUUGCUUGCUUGGCCACCCACUACACACUUUUUUUGCAAGCCUUUUUUUAAGGAUUCUCUGUUAUUCAAUGAAAAAAAUCCCACCGGUUUUCUAAAUUUAAAAAUUCAUGAAUAUGAAAAUUUUCAAAAAUUUGAAAAACAAUUACAGUUUGAAGAGAAUGAAUUGAAAAUUUUUGAAAAUUUUAAAAAAAAUCACAAAUUCAUUUUUUGUGAAUUUGAAAAAAGGUGAUUCAAAAAAGUUUGUGAAAUUUGAAAAAAAUCUCAUGAAUAUGAAAAAAUGGUCACAAAAUUGAAAAACUUCAAAAAUUUGAAAAAAAUGUUAGAGAAGUUUAAAAAUAAAAUAAUUAGAAAAAGAGAAAAAAAAAGGCAGAAGAGUAAAAAAGAAAAAUCAGGAUGAAAGUUUCCAUAACCAAAGUUGGCCCAUAAGCUUCUGGAAGCUUCCUAAAACCGACGGGAGGGAGCUUCUGCUCAUGUAAAUGCCAUAGAUUGGGCAGCCCUUUUACAAUCUAUUGAAGCAAGAGGUGCAUGCGCUUUUUAUCAAUAACUUGGAAACCAAUGGUAAAUAGCAUAUCUCCACUUUUAGCGCGGCGUAGAACGGAAUUCGACUACAGAUCCACAGUAUGGGCCAAUCCCAACAUGUUUUUCUAACAAGCUACUUUUUCUAUUGGGGCAGAUGUCUCACUCUAACGAGUAGGAUUUUUUUGUUCUUAUUUUCACAUUUUUCUUUUCAUUUUUUCUAAUUUUCUAGAAAACGCUCUAUAACAUAUAUGGGUGAUCAUAUAAUUUAAUAAGUUUUCAUGUACUUUAAAAAUGUUCAUCACCUAUUUAUAAAACGUUUUCAAAAUAUGAAACAUUUUUAAAAUACAAUUACAAUUACAAAAAGUGUUCAUAUUUUUCUGAAAAUAUACACUAUGAACAUUUUGAACAAUACGGAUGAAGAUUUAUUUUAAUACAUGAUGAACCUUUGUAAUCACAAUAUUUUCUAAAAAUACACAAAGAUUUUUAUAUACACAAUAAAUAUGUUGUUCAUACACGAUGAACAUUUUGUAAAAACAUGAGUGAACAUUGCCCAACUCCGAUGAGGAAGGGGCAAUGAUGGUAGUACCCCUUCGGCUUGCUCGACUGAUUGUAGACAUCGCUAGGUGGUCUAUGGACCUGAACAUAAGUUCUAUUACCUCUGGUGUUCUUGUAUUGACAUGAUGGUUGAUAAGUAGAUCGGAUUUUUUCGAUAUUUUUUUAAGAAAAAUGUUCAACUUGUCUUACAAAUUGUUCCGAAGAUUAAGAAAAAUAUAUUCGCAUUUUUUAAAAAGAACAUUGCAUUUCAAUUUUUUCACAUGUUUAGAAAUUGUUCAUGGCAAUAUUGAAAUAUAAAAAAUGUGUUAUUACAGUUUUGGAAAAAUGUUUGUGGUAUAUAAAAAUUGUUCAUCAUGUAUUUAUAAAACAAUCAAACUUGUAUUAAAAAAUAUUAUAUGUAUAUUUUAAAAAUGUUUAUUAUUUUUAAUAUUUUCAAUAUGUAUUUGAAAAUAGGAAAAUGAAAAACAAAACAUGAAGCAAUGAACAGGAAAAGUAAAAGAGAAACCAAAAAUGAAAAACCUAAACAAACCCAAUAAAGAAAACCCAGACAAAACGUUAUGAGAUCACAAGAAACAAACAAAUGCUACACACCUCCACCACUACUGGGCCACAGCCCACACCGCAUCGCCAGAGGUGAGCGCCUCGCGGUAGGCAGAGACAUAGCAUUUGCGUAAAAUGACCGCACGAAUUGAACAAACUGUCGGCUAGCUAGUUAUUAGAAAGACAUGUAACUUAAUUCAAACUCAACAAAAUUAUAGGUACAAUGCUUUGGAUCAUAGAUACAAGAAAUUAUAAAAUAACUCAUAUAACUAAGAAUUACAAUGAAACCCUCUUGAGUCAAAAUAUGAUAAACAGAGGAAAAAACAUUAGCACAUAUAAUCUUUACUCUAUCCGAAUAUAUGGCGGUGCUAAACUCAGCAACCCCAUUAGUUUUGGAGCUCCGGUUUCAUGGAGCCUUUUUUGGAAAAUCAUACAUUAAUAACUAAAACACGCGCGUGCAUGAGACUGGAGAAUGAGGGGCAUGCAACAUCAAAAUAGGUUAGUUUGUCGGAAUUAUAAGAUUUAAUAAUUUGAGACAAUAUGCAUAAUAAAACCCUCACUAGUGCAGUGUCGAAAACGCUCUUAUAUUGUGGGAUGGAGGAGUACAAUUUUGAAACUGUGCCCAGUAUAUCGGGCCAGAGGGAGAGCUUGAGAAAACACUGAGUCAGCGAAAACUCAGGUGUACGAAGCAGACCAUGGAGCCUUGGGGCUUCUUAACAGGUGGUCCUCACGCACGAGGUGGCUGCACAAUUGGGCCAGUUCCUUACCGGAGACCUUUCCUUUCCAUUCAUUGUGAAUUGAACUGAAGCGAUUGCUUUUUACUUUGUAUUGCAUUGCACAAACGUGUACACUGUCUAUCUUAAUUUCUAAAUGAUGGCCGGUCACAUGGACGUGUGAGCACGGGAUUGACAAGGCAACUAACACAAUUCUACUACUACGAGGAGGCAACUGAUAAUAUUGUUACUCACCCUACUAUCAUCAGAUGGAGACACACAAACAUAAUCCACUGGACAAGGCAACUAACAUAAUUUCUAUUACCACGAGGUUGCAACUAAUAGAGUAAAAAUAUUGUUACUCACAUGUACUAUCAUCAAAGAGACACACACGCAGAAUCCAGCUGUGCGUAUUAACACCUCUAGCUACCUCCGUAGGUCGCUUCAUUUGUAAUCAACUAAUCAACCAAUAUAACUCCAUUGACAUGUUACCCAGUACUACUUGUCACUCCAGCUACCUAGCUGCAAUUCUAAUUAAUGCACCCUCCAGAUCUGUUUUGUUUCACCCAGCCUAUAAAACCACACAGUAUGUAUCUCCAGCUCUCCACACAACACACACGCGCGCACACACAAAGCGCAGCAGGUUCAACACUAGCUACAAUCACAAGUAGGCAGCAAUGGCGAGGCAUCGCCUCCUCGCCGUGCUCCUCAUCGGCAUAGUUGCAGCCUCCGCCUUCAACCAAGCAGCUGUGGCUGGCCGAGGCCUUGCUGCCAUCGAGAAGUUUGCAGAGCUAGAGCCAAAGCCAGAACCUAAACAAGAGCUAAUGCCCAAACCUAUGCCACACACAGAGCCAGAGCCAUGCAAACCUGAACCGACGCCCAAACCCAAACCAAAGCCCGAACAAAAGCCUGGACAUAAGCCUGAGCCAGAACCCAAGCCCAAGCCGAUGCCAAAACCGAAGCCCGAGCCCUGCUCCAAACCAAAGCUGGUGCCAAAACCCGAACCAAAGCCAGAGCCCAAGCCUGAACCUGAACCGAAACCGAAGCCGCCUCCAAAGUGCAAACCACCGACAACGCACAAUUGAUGGGAUGCUUAUAUAUGAGAGUUGAUGGAGGAGACCCCGCACGGAGCCACACUGUGCUAUUUCUAGAAUAAGUGGUGUAGUACUCCUUGUAUUCCAUUUCUUUCUAUUUUUCCAUGCAGAGUACGUACUAGUACUCUGUAAUUACUAUUUGCUUGUUGGUAUAUGUUCAUCUACUUUGUAUGUGACUGACUCGUUGUUCUUUUGAGUAUCUACGCAUGAUUGUAUUCAUUCACAUCAAUGAGCUAUUUCGUUAGUGGACUGCAGUCUAUGUUGUUUUCUCUAUGGGGUUGUUUCAUAUUAUGUGGUCUUUUUUGGGGGGAAAGACGAUGUCAACAAAAAAGAAGAAAAUGACUCCCUAAAUAGCAGCACACAUAUGAAGUGUAUAGUGUGCGCGUACGUGCCUGGUGUUCUAGAUGUAUAAAGUGUACUCACACGCAAGACAACAGCCUUGUUCUCUACCCUUCACCUAUGAGCUAAGUCCCGACCGUGUGCGUUAGUAUUUAUGCCCAGGCUGACUCCGCUGCUGGUUAUACUAGCUAAACUUUGCACACAUUGCUACGAAAAUUUAUAGCAAUGAAAUUUUGAAAACUAGCAUAUAUGGGGAUAAUACUACACAACAUUCUCACCAUAUGUCAAUGAAAACCUACAUGUAAUGGAGGGUGGAUGCAUUUUAUAUUGUCUUGUGACCUUAUAGUUUAAUUAUUUCUUGCUGAACAUAAAUAGUAAAAAAUAAUGAGGUGAAGAGCUUUCAUGUGUUUGAUGAUGUGGAGGACUUGCAUAUGAUGAAAAGUGAAAAGUUGAAUGAUUACAUGCACGCUUGAUGAUAUGGAGGACUUGCCUGUGAUGAAAAGUGGUAAGUGAAAGUUUAUUGGCUGCAUGCCCUUCAUAAUGUGAUUGACAUGCAUGUGUAUUUAAAUGGGAUGACUUACUUAGAUACUAUAUAGGAUAUGUUUGAAAGAUAACUACACCCCCUAGGUCAAGAUUACCAAGAAAAACACCAUGGAAAUUAUUAUUAAUAGAUUUUCUCUUACUCAAUUCGCAACAAGAAAAAACACUCAACGACAAUGCUAUGCAACAUAAGAGAGACCACAAUAAUCUCUCACCCACCCCAUGGUACUGCCAGGGUAGGCUCUAUGAUUUUAAGAGCCCUUGGGUGAAGUUGGCGAAUUGAUCAUCCUUAUUUUUUCCUUUUUCAACACUCAACAAAUCUUUUUUAAGAAACAUUAUAGUAACCCUAAAACUGACGAGGAAAGUAAAUACAUAAAUUGAACUUUGAAAUUAGAGGUCUAACAUUUAACAUGCUUCGAGGAAUGGGUGGCACUGAUAAUAUGGCUAUGGAUGCAUGCAAUGAGAGAUCUAGAGAGUGACAAGCUCGUGCCUUGUUGUCCUUGACGUAUGAGGAGGCGGCGAGACUCACGUCGUCAAGCUUCGAGACAAACCUGCAACGACGAAGAUCGUGAAUUGCAAUAAGGAGAACUGGUGAUGCCAUGUGUCCAUGUCGCAUACCGAUUGUGAUUCUUUUCCUUUUGAUGGACUAGUUCAACCAACGGCUAAAAGCCUAAAGCUUGCUUUUAGGAGAGCGUGUAUACCUCACUUUUAGUAGAGCUCCUUCUCAACGCUUAUAGCGCUCGCUGCAGCGCACAUGUGCUCGUGCAAAUGGGUCUUCCCAUUAAUUGGUAAAGCAGUUGCUCGCCCGACCGCCCACUACACUCCUUUUUUGCCGCCUUCUUUUCCUGGUAUUGCUCUAUAUAUUAUUCAAUGAAAGAAAACUUCCACCGGGUUUACAAAUUUAAAAAAAUCAUGAAUAUGAAAAGGUUCACAAAUGUGAAAAAAUACGGAUUUGAAAAUAUAAUUUAUUCAAAAACAUGGACAACUUCUAAAAAAUCACAAAUUCAUUUUUUGCGAAUUCGAAAAGGUGAAUUAAAAAAUUGUAAUUUCAAAAAACUCGCAAAUAUGAAAAAAUGUUCACAAAAUAAAGAGUUCAUGAAUUUAAAAAUAAUAAAAGAAUGCAAACAGAAAAGAGAAACAAGGCGGAAAAGUAAAAAAGAAAAACCAGGCAGAAAGUUUACAGAACCAAAGUUGACCCAUAAGCUUUUGGAAAAUUCCUAAAAACGGGAGGGAGCUUCCGCUCACGUAAACCCCAUAGAUUGGCCACCCCUUAUACGAUCUAUUGAAGGAAGAGGUGUAUGCGCUUUCUACCAAUAACUUAGACACUAGUGCUAAAUAGCAUAUUUCCACUUUUAGCGAGGGGUAGAACGAAAUUUGACUAUAAAGCCACGGCAUGGGCCAAUCGCAACAUUUUCUUUCUAACAAACAAGAUUUUUCUAUAGGGGCACACGUCUCACUCUAAUGAGCGUGUUUUUUUCAUUCUUAUUUUCACUUUUUUUUCUCAUUUUCUAGAAAACGUUCUAUAAAAUAUAUGGGUUUGUACUUUUGGUAAGUGAUCAUGUAGUUUAAUAAGUGUAAAUGUACUUAAAAAUGCUCAUCAUGUAUUUAUAAAACAUUUUCAAAAAAAUCAAACAUUUUUCAAAUACACAUAGAACUGAAAAGUGUUCAAAUAUUUUCCGAAAAUAUACACUGUGAACAUUUUGAACAAUAUAGGAUGAAGAUUUCUUUCAAUACAUGAUGAACCUUUCAAAUAACAAUAUUUUUCUAAAAUUGCACAAUGAUUUUUUUAAAUCCAUGAUAAUGUUUAAAUAUACAAUAUUAUUUUCAUACACGACGAACAUUUUGAAAAAACAUGAGUGAGCAUUGCCCAACUCCCAUGAGGGAGGGGCGAUGAUCGUGGUGCACUUUCGGCUUGGUCGAGUGAUUGUAGACAUCGCUAGGUGGUCUAUGGAACUGGAUGUAAGUUAUGUUACUUCAGGUGUUCUUAUACUGACAUGAUAGUUGAUAAAUAGAUCGAAAGUUUUUUUUUGUAAAAAAUAAAAGAAACAUUUCGAACUUGUCUUAAAAAUUGUUCCUGAGAUUUUGAAAAUAUAUUUGCCUUGUUCCAAAAAAUUACAUUUUCAUUUUUCACAUGUUUAGAAAAUUGUUCAUGGCAAUACUAAAAAUGUUUCAUUAUAAAAAAAGUUCUUACAUUUUUUAUAAAAAUGUUCAUAGUAUAUCAAAAAAUUUCAUCAUGUAUUUAUAAAACGUUCAAAUAUGUAUUGGAAAAAUAUUAUAUGUGUAUUUUUAAAAAUAUUUUGAAAAAAAAUCAGCAUGUAUUUGAAAUAUGGAAAAAUGAAAAAGAAAAUACAAAACAAAACAUGAAAUAAAUGAAGAAAAGUAAAAGGGGUAUGAAAAUGAAAAACCUAAAGAAACGCGAUAAAGAAACCAGAAGAAAAAACCCAAACAGAAUGUUUCAAAAAUCGCACGAAACGAACCAAUGCUACGCCUCCACCGCGACUGGGCCACAGCCCGCACACCAUUGCCAGAGGUGAGGGCCGCAUUUGCGCAAAAUGACCGCACACAUUGAACAAACUGUCAGCUAGCUAGUUAUUAGAAUGACAUGUAACUUUAUUCAAACUCAACAAAGUUACAGGUACAAUGCUUUGAUCAUGCAUACAAGAAAUUAUAAAAUAAUUCCUAUAACUAAGAAUUACGAUGCAACCCUCUUGAGUAAAAGUAUGACAAACGGAGGAAAAAAAUAUUAGCACAAUAUAAUCCUUGCUCUAUCCGAAUAUAUGGCGGUACAAAACUCAGCAACCCCGUUCGUUUUGGAGCUCCGGCUCCAUGAGGCCUUUUUUGGAAAAUCAGACAUGCAUAACUAAAACAUACGUGAUCUAACAUAUCUUAUAUUAGUUUACAGAGGGAGUACAUGCAUAAGUAAAACAUACGCAUGCAUGAGACUGGAGAAUGAGGGGCAUGCAUCGUCAAAAUAGGGUAGUUUGUCGGACAGUUAUAAGAUUUAAUAAUUUGGGGCAAUAAGCAUGAUAAAUCCUCAUUGGUAUCUAUAAUUUUGAAACUGUGCCCAGUAUACCGGGCCAGAGGGAGUGCUUGAGAAACACUUUUUACAAAAAGAAGGAUAACCCCUGAUCUAUGCAUAAGCAAUGCACACAGCCACUUUUAUUAUAUUAUUCAACAAAAUCUGACAAAACUAGUACAUGGACAACAUAAAGCCAUCUUCAUGGCAACCACUUGAGAAAACACUGAGUCCGUGAAAACUCGGUCGACGAAGCAGUCCAGGGAGCCUUGGGGCUUCCAACAGGUGGUGAAGCUCCCGCACAGGGUGUACGAUCGGGCCAAUUCCUUUCCAUUGUGAAUUGAACUGAAGUGAUUGCUUUUUUUUUACUUUGUAUUGCAAUUGCACUAACAUAAUUCUAAUGAUGGACGGUCACAUGGACGUGUGAGCACGGGAUUGACAAGCCAACUAACAUAAUUCUAUUACUACGAGGAUGCAACUAAUAGACUAAAAAUAUUGUUACUCACCCCCGCUGUCAUAACAAAGAGACACACACGCAAAAUCCAGCUGUGCUUAUUAACACCUCUACCUACCUAGGUUGCUUCAUUUGUAAUCAACUAAUCAACGAAUAUAACUCCAUUGACGUGUUAUGCAGUACUCUUUCACUUCAGCUAGCUAGCUGCAAUUCUAAUUAAUGCAGCCUCCAGAUCUGCUUUGUUUCACCAAGCCUAUAAAACCACACAAUAUGUAUCUCCAGUUCUCCACACAACACACACACACACACACACACACACACAAAACACAGCAGGUGCAACACUAGCUAGCUGUAAGCAUAAGAAGUAGGCAGCAAUGGCGAGGCAUCGCCUCCUCGUCGUGCUCCUCAUCGGGAUAGUUGCAGCCUCCGCCUUCAACCAAGCAGCUGCCGCUGGCCGAGGCCUUGCUGUCGUUGAGAAGUUUGCAGAGCUAGAGCCAAAGCCAGAGCCCAAACCAGAACCAAUUCCCAAGCUUACGCCACACCCAGAGCCAGAGCCUUGCAAACCUGAACCAAUGCCCAAACCCAAACCAAAACCCGAACAAAAGCCCGGACAGAAGCCCGAACCAGAACCCAAGCCCAAGCCAAUGCCAAAACCAAAGCCCGAGCCCUGCUCCAAACCAAAGCCAGAUCCUAAGCCCGAGCCGAUGCCGAAACCCGAACCAAAGCCGGAGCCCAAGCCUAAACCUGAACCGAAACCGAAGCCGCCUCCGAAGUGCAAAUCACCGGCAACACACAAUUGAUGGGAUAAUUAUAUAUGACACUUGACGAAGGAGACCUGGAAUGGAGCCACACUGUGUUAUUGUUAGAAUAAGUGGUGUAGUAUUCUCUGUAUUCACUUUCUUUUUAUUGUUCCAUGAGCGCGUGAUGAGUAUUAGAACUCUGUGAUUAUUAUUUUCUUGUUGCUAUAUGUUCAUCUACUUUGUAUGUGACCAGACUCGUUGUUCUUUUGAGUAUAAGUGCAUGAUUGUAUUCAUUCGCAUGAAUGAGCUAUGUUGUCCAGUGGGCUGCAGUCUAUUGUUG